GCAUGACAAAAUCGAACAGUAACUUGUAUCUUUCACAAGAUUUGAAUUUGUUAUACUCAGUCUAAUACAUGUAGUUUCGGAGCACAUUUUACAGAGUACGGUUUAUCUGUUUGGAAUGAGAUGUACCAAUCGGCAUUAGAUUUAUCAGAACCCUUCGAUAUCGUUGAAAUUAUGCCACGGCGAUGUGUUCGACUGACUACCAGAGCUACUCAUCCUGCAAACACGCCAAAACAGUUUUGGAAAGUCUCAUUAUAUUUGCGUUUAUAGACCAUAUGAUAAUGGAACUGGAGAGUGGAGUCGCGUCUGGUAUUAUCAGAAAAUUGCUUCCAGGGCCGUAACUACAUUGAGGCAAAUGAGGCAAAUGCCUCAUGUUUUAAAUUAAAAAAAAAAACAAAAAAAAAAAAAAACAAAACAAAAGAUUGUCUCCAUAUGAUUGUCUUCCAUAUCAAAUUGUUUUCACUGAAAGUGUCUUGCAAGAAGCAAGUUCUCUUCACUCUCUGAUGUCGCCCCUGCA
rnacentral:lncRNA from 1 species